CUUAAUCCACACAUACGUCGACACAUGUGGCUGGGUGCCUGAUUGAGUUCGGGUUGCCGCAUGGGACGUAUGGAGGCCCAAC
rnacentral:sRNA from 1 species